AAAUAGCCCUGAUGGAAAUGGAAAUCCCUUUUGAAAUAAUAAAAUUGUUAUUUAGGGAUGUUAUCCAAAGGAUUGGAAUGUACAGCAGGACGGAAC
rnacentral:sRNA from 1 species